UGGGGAAUUUUGGACAACGGGCGCAAGCCUGAUCCAGCCAUACCGCGUGCGGGAAGAAGGCCUUCGGGUUGUAAACCGCUUUUAUCAGGGAAGAAAUCUUCUGGGCUAAUACCUCGGGAGGAUGACGGUACCUGAAGAAUAAGCACCGGCUAACUACGUGCC
rnacentral:rRNA from 1 species